rnacentral:rRNA from 1 species
UCAUAUGCUUGUCUCAAAGAUUAAGCCAUGCAUGUCUCAGUGCAAGCCGUCCUACGUACGGUGAAACCGCGAAAGGCUCAGUAAAUCAGUUAUGGUUCCUUAGAUUGUACCCACAUUACGUUACUUGGAUAACUGUGGUAAUUCUAGAGCUAAUACAUGCCGACAGAGUUCCGACCAGCGCCGGGUGUACUAGGCUUCGCGCCGUCGCCCGGUGUUCGGAAGGAACGCUCUUAUUAGAUCAAAACCGGCCAAACAGUGUUUGAUCGCGUUUCCGAACGCGUUCACCUGUGAGCGGCCCGCGCAAAGACUUGACGACUCUGAAUAAUUUCGAGCUGAUCGCAUGGUCUUGGUGCCAGCGACGUAUCUUUCAAAUGUCUGCCUUAUCAACUGUCGACGGUAGGUUCGAUGCCUACCGUGGUGGUAACGGGUAACGGGGAAUCAGGGUUCGAUUCCGGAGAGGGAGCCUGAGAAACGGCUACCACAUCCAAGGAAGGCAGCAGGCGCGCAAAUUACCCACUCCCAGCUCGGGGAGGUAGUGACGAAAAAAUAACGAUGCGGGACUCUUAUGAGGCCCCGUAAUCGGAAUGAGUACACUUUAAAACCUUGGUCACACGAGGAUCAAUUGGAGGGCAAG